rnacentral:rRNA from 1 species
ACACAUGCAGUCGAGGGGUAUAGUAGCAAUACUAGAGACCGGCGCACGGGUGCGUAACGCGUAUGCAAUCUACCUUUUACAGAGGGAUAGCCCAGAGAAAUUUGGAUUAAUACCUCAUAGUAUAGCUGUACCGCAUGGUACUACUAUUAAAGUCACAACGGUAAAAGAUGAGCAUGCGUCCCAUUAGCUAGUUGGUAAGGUAACGGCUUACCAAGGCAACGAUGGGUAGGGGUCCUGAGAGGGAGAUCCCCCACACUGGUACUGAGACACGGACCAGACUCCUACGGGAGGCAGCAGUGAGGAAUAUUGGUCAAUGGACGCAAGUCUGAACCAGCCAUGCCGCGUGCAGGAUGACGGUCCUAUGGAUUGUAAACUGCUUUUGUACGAGAAGAAACACUAGUUCGUGAACUAGCUUGACGGUAUCGUAAGAAUAAGGAUCGGCUAACUCCGUGCCAGC